rnacentral:rRNA from 1 species
CAGCAGUAGCCGCGGUAAUACAGAGGGUGCGAGCGUUAAUCGGAUUUACUGGGCGUAAAGCGUGCGUAGGCGGCUUCUUAAGUCGGAUGUGAAAUCCCUGAGCUUAACUUAGGAAUUGCAUUCGAUACUGGGAAGCUAGAGUAUGGGAGAGGAUGGUAGAAUUCCAGGUGUAGCGGUGAAAUGCGUAGAGAUCUGGAGGAAUACCGAUGGCGAAGGCAGCCAUCUGGCCUAAUACUGACGCUGAGGUACGAAAGCAUGGGGAGCAAACAGGAUUAGAUACCCCGGUAGUUCCUGUCUCUUAUAA